AUUGAACGCUGGCGGCAGGCUUAACACAUGCAAGUCGAGCGGGGUGAUGGUGCUUGCACUAUCACUUAGCGGCGGACGGGCGAGUAAUGCUUAGGAAUCUGCCUAUUAGUGGGGGACAACAUCUCGAAAGGGAUGCUAAUACCGCAUACGUCCUACGGGAGAAAGCAGGGGAUCACUUGUGACCUUGCGCUAAUAGAUGAGCCUAAGUCGGAUUAGCUAGUUGGUGGGGUAAAGGCCUACCAAGGCGACGAUCUGUAGCGGGUCUGAGAGGAUGAUCCGCCACACUGGGACUGAGACACGGCCCAGACUCCUACGGGAGGCAGCAGUGGGGAAUAUUGGACAAUGGGGGGAACCCUGAUCCAGCCAUGCCGCGUGUGUGAGGAAGGCCUUAUGGUUGUAAAGCACUUUAAGCGAGGAGGAGGCUCUUUUGGUUAAUACCCAAGAUGAGUGGACGUUACUCGCAGAAUAAGCACCGGCUAACUCUGUGCCAGCAGCCGCAGUAA
rnacentral:rRNA from 1 species